GUUCUGAGUAACUGAGGUGUUUCAGGACCCCAAAUCCGGAGCGGUGACCCCUCAGACGUGGAAGCUCCAGGGCUGCUCACUCCGAUCGGUCCGGACGAAGGUGACAAAGGUGGAGUUGGGACCGCGGCCAGGGUGCGCCGGGAGCGGGGCGGGCGGGGGAGCCCCCCUGGCCGUGCUGAAAUCGUGUUCGGGUUAGACGGCGAGAGACAGUGGGAGCGGGGUGCCUGCGGCGUGCGGGAUCCCAACGCCAGGCCGAGGCCACUGCAACCCGAGGGUCACACGAGCGUCACCCGCCUCCCCUGGCCACGCCUCUCGGCGGACCGAAAGAGCACUCGUGAUUGGCCCCCAGGCCUGUCGGUCCGGAGGGAGGCCCGCCCCCUGGCCGCCCGCCUGGUGGAGGUAGUGGCUUCCCGCGUGGUCUGAUCCCACGAUGGCGACCUUGGGCCACCCGGGAGCCUCCUGAGGAUGCCACGGACAUCAUUGUGAUUACGAGCCCUUGGGGUGCAAGAAACCAGGAGUCCAGACUCUCCACCUGGCCCUGAGAACAUUUGGAAGCGUCUCAGGUCUUCUGCCCCCGGAGGCAGGUCUAGGGACGCUCCGCAGGCGCGCGUGGGUAAACCCGAGCCCAGCGCUACCUCUUCCCACAGUUGCGGCGGGCGACACCCGGACCUGAGCGCCGCCACGCCCUCCCGCGCCACCUGUGCGGGACAGAGGGCUCCCUGAGCGGUCAGCAUCGCUCAAGGGGGAGGCGACUCCCCCAGUGGGGGUCUUGCGAGCCCACUCGAAGUGGGCUCCCGGGGAGGCUCCACCUGUCUGCUGGCGGUGACAGCCCAGGUUCCUACUGCAGCAGCGUUCAAGGCCACCAUGGACAGUCCCCACCUGCCCUUGCAGCUCUGCCUCUGGGACCUGUGUCCACGCUGCCCAGCUGUGCCCCAUGGCGUCCACCCUUCUGCUUUCUCUCCAGUCAGAGAUCUCGGAGUGGGAGCCUGACCCAGAGCCUGCUUCCCAAAGCCUGGCCUGGCUCUCCGGCCUCACCCAGCCUGUCCACACUGGGGCUGCAGACAGGCCCAGCUGUCCCAUCACUUGGUGUACUGGGCCAGAAAUGCCCUCCUCCGCCUGCAGGUCCCGGACUAAUGUAGCUGCAGGCAGAAAGCACGGGGAAGGAGGCAGAAGUAGCUCAGACACCUGCUUCCUCCUCCCCAGACUCCACCUCGCCAAGGCGAGGUCCUCCAGGGCGGAGGACCAAGUUCUGCGCUUGGGGCACAGGCACCAGAGACCCUGAAAUCCAGAUAGAAGUUCAAGGCCUUUGCUCUAUGGCUAUGUGACUCAUGUUAGGGAUUCAACCUCUCUGAGACUUCUGUAGCCAAUAAAAUAAUUCCUGCCCUUGAUUUGAAAUGCUGCUGCUGAACAUGGACCGGCUUUUGUGUGUGUGUGUGUGGAAACAGGUUCAGUCUGGUUUUGAACUCACUAUGUAGCUCAGGCUGGCCUCAAACUUGAGAUUCCCGCCUCACCCUCCUGAGUCCUGGAAAUCCAAGUUUGCUGCCACCUCACCUGGCCACUUCUUGAGUUCUGUACACCGGCUUCAGGACAAAAAACAAAAUCAAUGUGACUGCAGGUCCACGUGAGCUGCUCCUGCUGACCUCACGCUGGCCCCACCCAGACAGCCCGUGACCAAGCUUCUAGACCCGCAGUGAGACCUGCCCCCCCAGGAAGCCUCCAGGGACCUCCCUGGGACCAGGAAGGGACCCUUUCUGGCCUCCCACAGCACCCAGCAUUGCCUACCCUGGAGAUCCCAGGGGCCGUGCUGAAAUAAAUUCUCUGCUGCUGCCUCCUGACUUGUGCCUGACACACAGGUGGUGCCUAACAAAUGUCCCCUCAGUGAACAAACCCGGGGUGGAUGACGGAGUCCAUGGAAGGGUGGGGGCAGCGCGGGGAGCUCAUCACCAGCUUCAUUGUGGUCAGCUCACCAGGGGCGUUUCCUCCAGGCACGUCCAGCUCCUCUUCCUUUUUUUUUGUUGUUGUUUUCUGAGACAGGGUCUUGCUAUGUCAUUCAGGCUGGCCCUGCACCUUGUAGCAUGACAUACUCCUGCCUCAGCCUCCAGAAUGCUGGGAUGAUAGGCGUGCACCACCACACCUAGCUAAACUGCUCUCUUGCCUUUGAUCUAACUCUUCCGCAGGUCCCUGGCGUUUCCCUCCUUCCUCUCUUCCCUCUGUGGGAGCACUCAGGCAGAGGACCUGGACACUGGAGUCCCUCAGAAACGACUCAGUGGCCGAGAAAGCGCGCAGGUGCUCUGUGGUGCUGGGCCAGGGUCCACAUCCUGCCAGGUGGCUCUGGUGGUUGUGCCCACCCCCUGCUUUCUCCUCACACCUCUCAGACCGGGGCUGGAGGGAUCCCUGAUUUUCUCUGCCCUCCUCUCCCCUCUGCUUGUUCUAAAGCUGGGCAGCGCAGGGGUGUUGAGGCCAGAGGAGCAGACCUUACA
ensembl:lincRNA